AGGCUGCAACUCACCUACAUGAAGUCGGAAUCGCUAGUAAUCGCGGAUCAGCAUGCCGCGGUGAAUACGUUCCCGGGCCUUGUACACACCGCCCGUCACACCAUGAGAGUUUGUAACACCCAAAGCCGGUGGGGUAACCUUUUGGAGCCAGCCGUCUAAGGUGGGACAGAUGAUUGGGGUGAAGUCGUAACAAGGUACC
rnacentral:rRNA from 1 species